rnacentral:rRNA from 1 species
UUACGGGGUGCAGCAGGCGCGAAAACUCCGCAAUGCACGAAAGUGUGACGGGGUCAGCCAGAGUGUCCGUGCAUCGCGCGGACUGUCCAGGUGUGUAAAGAGCACCUGAUAGCAAGGGCUGGGCAAGGCCGGUGGCAGCCGCCGCGGUAAUACCGGCAGCCCGAGUGGCGGCCACUAUUAUUGGGCUUAAAGCGUCCGUAGCCGGCUUGGCAAGUCCCCUGGGAAAUCUGGCCGCUUAACGGUCAGACUGCUGGGGGAUACUGCUAGGCUUGGGACCGGGAAAGGCUGAGGGUAUUCCUGGGGUAGGGGUGAAAUCCUGUAAUCCCGGGAAGACCACCUGUGGCGAAGGCGCUCAGCUGGAACGGGUCCGACGGUGAGGGACGAAGGCCUGGGGCGCGAACGGGAUUAGAUACCCCGGUAGUCCAGGCUGUAAACCAUGCGGACUAGGUGUCACUAGAGCCACGAGCUCUGGUGGUGCCGUAGGGAAACCGUUAAGUCUGCCGCCUGGAAGUACCGUCGCAGAAGUCCC